rnacentral:ncRNA from 1 species
UUGGGAGAACAUUAGAAAAUCUUAGUAUGCCUGUCACAACUCAGUGAUGUUCUGCCAAGGAUGGCAGAACAAGGCUUCACGAGCCACGGAUGGCUCGUUGAACGCCGUUCACGUCAUUUUUAGAUACUUUUAUAAGGCAUACUUAGACUUUUCUUAUGUUCGGA